GCCUUUAUAGCUCAGUGGUAGAGCGCUUGACGUACGUCAUUUUCCCAACUUCCCUUAACCAGUCUUUAUCUAACAUUUCCAAAGUUGUAUCACCUUAGGAUAUCAAGAGGUCCGUGGUUCAAUCCCGCGUGGAGGCA